AUUCAUCCUACCCAACCACACACACGAACACUAAUUAAUUUCAUCAUCUCCAUUCUCUCUCUUCUCUCUCCAUCCACCUUCCAUCUUCUCUCUAGCUGUCUGCCUUCGUUGCCAUCGGUAGCACCACCUCACCAUCACCACACUUAACCAUCUCACUACAAACCAUACACCCACCAAAAAAUCACCAUACCCGCAACCUCCACCAUCGCGUGCUACCAACAACAUCGUCAUCACAAAUCCACCAUCUUCACCUCAACCAUCAACACCACACUCAAUAGAUCGAGAGAAACAAACAAGAUGGGGAAUAGAGAAACAGAUCGCCGCGCACCUCCAGCAACGUAGCGACUCAUAGCAUCAAUAAUACCGAGAUCUGGGAAAAUGACGAAUUUUCGGAGGCCACGUAGUUACCCACAUCGCAAUGAUGCCGAGAUCUGGGAAAAAAUGUAGGGAAAUGCGGGGAUCUACUACAAUGGCGAAUGAUGGAUAUGACAUCGUGAGGUAGUGGCGAUUUUCGUGACACUGCAAUGGUGCUAAUUAUUUUUUGGCAGAGGUUACCAUACUUUUCUUUCCAGGCUAAAGUGGGGGGUUUUUGUUGACUGUGCUUGUCGCUGGUAAAAGUCGUCGCUAUGGUUAUAUCGGUGUCAAUGGUAGUUUUUAUUUAUGGUCGCGAUCUUAGCUCUUGUUUGAUUCUCAUUCUUCAUUUUUUCAAAAUUUAUUUUCAACCACACAUUCUUCAAUAAAAUAAUAUUACACGUAAAUUCAAAACUUUUCUUUAAUUUUUAAUCACACAUUCUCCAUUAAUCUAUUAUUCAAAAUGCAUUAUUUCUUCCAAAAUGGAGAUCAAUGCAACUACCUGAUUUGAUGAAACUUGGUGGUGUUUUUUUCAUUAUAUCCUAUUAGUUCUUUCCAAAAUCAAUCUUCUAAAAAUUUUUGUCCUCUGCAUUUUUUGGGAGUUCUAUAAAUAUUUACAUAUGGCCAUAGUCUGGAGAGAGAUCCAAUGAAUCGACGAUGGCUCUAACAAACCACGUGCUAUUCUGAUCCAAUGAAUUUGUUGGCUACUUGCUAUUAUUGAAAUUUUCGAAAUUGGAUGUUGAAAAUGAGAUGACUUUCAUUAUCUUGUUGGCUACUUAAUGUUUCUUAAGGAGUCUGCAAACUGGUAGUCUUAGUUUGGAUAAGAAAUUGUUGAAGUCUUUUUGCUGGAGAUAAGUCUUUUUGCAAUUGUAACAUGCUGCUGAAAUGUUGAGCUCUCAUGUGAGACUUAUAGAUGAGAUUUCAAGGUCAGAUAAGAGACAAAAGAAGAUGAAACUUUAUGAUUUGAAGCAUAAGAAGGAACGAAUGUUAUUUUUUUGAUAUUACACCUGAUUGUGAGUAUAAGAUUACAUACAUAUGUGAAGUGCAAUUCAAUAUAGAAGGGAUUGUUUUACAUUUGUAUAUACAAAUGUAUUAUUUGUCUAAAAAAAUUAUGGACUUUUGAAGUAAUUUGUACGCCUAAGGUUUCAAUCAAGACAAGUUUUACACUUCACGUACAUGUUUCAUGUUAUUGAAUUUUGACUUAUGUUAGUGGUGGAAAUGAAAAAUAAUUACAAAUGAAAUUGACUUUAAGAACUUCAAAGGCUAUAUUUGGCUCAUAUUUAUAAACACUCAAAUCAUUUUUCAUCAACACUUUAUUAAAGAAUGUAUGGUUAAAAAUGAGUUAUU
rnacentral:lncRNA from 1 species